rnacentral:tRNA from 1 species
GGCGAACAUGUUGAAAUUUGGUAAACAAUCUCCUCUUAAGCAGGAGUGGAAGUAAUUCCUUAAGAGUUCGAGUCUCUUUGUUCGUAGUCUUGU